rnacentral:rRNA from 1 species
GACGUAGGGGGCCAGCGUUGUUCGGAAUUACUGGGUGUAAAGGGUUCGUAGGCGGUGCGGCAAGUCGGGAGUGAAAUCUCUGGGCUUAACCCAGAGGCUGCUUCCGAAACUGCUGUGCUUGAGUGUGGGAGAGGCGCGUGGAAUUGCAGGUGUAGCGGUGAAAUGCGUAGAUAUCUGGAGGAACACCGGUGGCGAAGGCAGCCCCCUGGGCUAACACUGACGCUCACGCACGAAAGCGUGGGGAGCAAACAGG